UACAGAGGUCUCAAGCGUUGUUCGGAAUUACUGGGCGUAAAGGGCGCGUAGGCGGCCUGCUAAGUCGAACGUGAAAUCCCCGGGCUCAACCCGGGAACUGCAUCCGAAACCAUCUCGCUAGAGUAUGGGAGAGGGAAGCGGAAUUCCUGGUGUAGAGGUGAAAUUCGUAGAUAUCAGGGGGAACAUCUGCGGCGAAGGCGGCUUCCUGGCCCAUUACUGACGUUCAGGUACGAAAGCGUGGGUAGCAAACAGG
rnacentral:rRNA from 1 species